rnacentral:rRNA from 1 species
GCGUGCCUACACAUGCAGUCGUACGAGAAAAUCCGUUUCGGCGGAUGAGUAAAGUGGCGCACGGGUGAGUAACGCGUGGAUAAUCCGCCUUUAAGCUGGGAAUAACUCAUCGAAAGGUGGGCUAAUACCCGAUAAUGCUAUGCAGCUAAGGUUGUAUAGUCAAAGAGAGCCUCUGCUUGCAAGCCCUCACUUAGAGAUGAGUCCGCGUACCAUUAGCUAGUUGGUAGGGUAAUGGCCUACCAAGGCGAUGAUGGUUAGCUGGUCUGAGAGGAUGAUCAGCCACACUGGAACUGAGACACGGUCCAGACUCCUACGGGAGGCAGCAGUGAGGAAUAUUGCGCAAUGGGGGAAACCCUGACGCAGCAACGCCGCGUGAGUGAGGAAGGUUUUCGGAUCGUAAAGCUCUGUCGGGUGGGAAGAAAUGUAUGGAGGUUAAUAGCCUUUGUACUUGACGGUACCGCCAAAGGAAGCACCGGCUAACUCCGUGCCAGCAGCCGCGGUAAUACUGGGGGUGCAAGCGUUGUUCGGAAUCAUUGG